GGAAGAUGAGCCUGCUGCUUGAAUUGAAAGAGGCUGAAGCUCCGUCCACAAUAACAACUCAGAGGAAGAGGACAUGGGCCACUUUUGUAGCUUCCUAUAGUGGAUUGAGAACUCCAUGCUCGCCAGAGAGGAAGAAGAGGAAGAUGGAAGUGAUGGAUUCAUCAAGUGAGACCCAAACUGAAGCUCCGUCCACUGAGGCCAAAAUUAAACCUCAGAGGAAAAGGACGUGGGUGACUUUUGUGGCCUUGCACCCUGAGUUAAGAACUCCAUGCUCGCCAGAGGGGAAGAAGAGGAAGAUGAGCCAGUCACAUGAUUCAAAUAAGGCUCCAACUGAUGAGUCUGAGACACAAAAGAAAAGCAAGCUUAUCUUUGACUCCUGUUCAGUGGGUCUCAGUCUCAGUUAAAAACAAAGCAGGUGGUUUUGGUGAAACCUUAAAACUUUUUUUCCCCACAGGGAAGCGCCAGGAAUCUAACCAGGCAUCAUCCAGCGAGGCCAAAAAUCCAGAGAUCAUUGAAAAGAACCCAGACUGCUCAUCUCCAAAGAGGAAAAAAAAAGAAAAAGAUCCUCUCCGGUGACAGUGGCCCAAACCAGACCUCUGAGGAAAAGGAAAGUGUCCGAUUAGAAAUCCAGACUGCAGCUCCUCCACAGAGGAAAAAGAGAGAGAGGAGCCUGGAUUGAGGGUGCACCUUCACGUGCAGUGGCAGGCCACCAGAGCCACGACGGCCGACAGAGGCCGACGGAGGACGACGGAGGACGACGGAGCCAGGACAAAGGAUCAGGACCACAGAUCAACGGUUCAGGGUAAUAUCAGGUCAUUAGGAGGUUGGUAAGUAACGCCUGCACAGGAGACGUCUGUUAUGACUGUCUGUUUGAUAUGCUGCCCAUA